GAUGAACGCUGGCGGCGUGCCUAAUACAUGCAAGUCGAGCGAACAGACGAGGAGCUUGCUCCUCUGACGUUAGCGGCGGACGGGUGAGUAACACGUGGAUAACCUACCUAUAAGACUGGGAUAACUUCGGGAAAGCGGAUCUAAUACCGGAUAAUAUAUUGAACCGCAUGGUUCAAUAGUGAAAGACGGUGUUUCUGUCACUUAUAGAGGGAUCCGCGCCGCAUUAGCUAGUUGUUAAGGUAACGGCUUACCAAGGCAACGAUGCGUAGCCGACCUGAGAGGGGGAUCGGCCACACGGGAACUGGGACACGGACCAGACUCCUACGGGAGGCAGCAGUAGGGAAUCUUCCGCAAUGGGAGAAAGCUUGACGGAGCAAGGCCGCGUGAGUGAUGAAGGUCUUCGGAGCGUAAAACUCUGUUAUUAGGGAAGAACAAAUGUGUAAGUAAAUAUGCACGUCUUGACGGUACCUAAUCAGAAAGCCACGGCUAACUACGUG
rnacentral:rRNA from 1 species